AAGGACUACUAUACACGCAGGACAUGUUUGCCAGUCAACUUUUUUUCAAUUUUGUCGUUUCAACAUUUUCAGACAAACAUUAUUAAUAAGAGUUGUAACGCGUUUUAAUAUGAGUUCAGGUGCUCAAAUUCGUAGCAUUUUAAAGAAAAAUAAAAAAGAUACUGACCGUCAAAGUUUACUGCAGUCAUUGAAGUAAUCUUUCCUUUUUUUGGCCGGAUCCCGUAGGAAUUGACAAUUUCCUA